AAGUCUCAAGCGUUGAAACCCUAUCUUCUUCCUCCAUUGCGACAACACAGAGAAUUUUGCGGCCGCGCAAUCCAUCAUUUUCUCCAUUAACGCCUCUCGAGAAGGUCUCCUCUCUAUCGCAUUUUGCUUCCUUUUGGUAGAAGGAGGAACGUACCUAAAACUUGGGUUUUAGGACUUGCGAGCGAGGAGAGCUUUUUGAGUCCAGUAGAGGUCGACGAUUUGCAAACCCCAGCUUCAGCUUCGAUCCACCAGCAUCUGUAUCGACUGACUCAUGUCUUUGUCGACGGAUUCUAGCCUCCCAAAUAGAAGGAAGAGAUCCAUUAUGUGGGAUCACUUUAAAAGGAUUUCAUGUGCAGACAAGAAUCAAGAAAAGGCUGAAUGUUUAUAUUACGGGGUCCACAUUGGUUGUUCUAGUACUUAAGGGACUAGUUCAAUGCAUCAUCAUUUAGAUAGAUGUAAGGAAGAUCUAUAUGCAAACAUCGAGAAAAGGCAAAAAAUGCCUCGGAUCAACCUAUUGGGGUUGGUACUUCACCAUGGAAAUUUGACCAGGAUGCUAGUAGAAAAGAACUAGCGACCAUGUUCAUUCUUGAUGAAUUGCCCUUUAAGUUUGUAGAAAAUGAGGGUUUUCAGCGAUUUAUGUAUAGAAUCUAGCCAAAGUUCUCAAUCCCUACGCGUAACACGUUGAGGAGUGAUUGUUAUGCAUUAUACGUGGAGGAAAGAAGAAAAUUGAUGAAAUAUUUUGCCGACACACGUCCUAGAGUUUGUUUGACGACCGACAAA